GUGAGGAAUAUUGGUCAAUGGGCGAGAGCCUGAACCAGCCAAGUAGCGUGAAGGAAGAGUGCCUUACAGGUAAUAAACUUCUUUUCUUCGGGAGUAAUGACAUCUACGAGUUAGGUGUAGAGUAAGUACCGAAGGAACAAGCAUCGGCUAACUCCGUGCCAGCAGCCGCGGUAAUACGGAGGAUGCGAGUGUUAUCCGGAUUUAUUGGGUUUAAAGGGUGCGUAGGCGGACAGUUAAGUCAGCUGUUAAAUGACCAUGCUCAGCGUGGGAAAUGCAGUUGAAACGGACAGUCUAGAGAGUACACAAGGCAGUUGGAAUUUGUGGUGUAGCGGUGAAAUGCAUAGAUAUCACGAAGAACACCGAUAGCGAAAGCAAGCUGCCGGGGUGCGUCUGACGCUGAGGCACGAAAGUGUGGGUAUCGAACAGGAUUAGAAACCCCAGUAGUCC
rnacentral:rRNA from 1 species